UAUAAAAUAGCACAUAUAAAAAAUAGAUUCAUUUCGCUAUUUAUCCCCCCGCUAUUGACUAACAAACAACAGAAGCCAAAAUGUCUCCCUUUACCCCACUUUUCUAUUCAUCCUAAGAAGGGAAAGAAGUAUUGUUAUUUUUUCCUCUUUUUGAUGAUAGGCCCUAUCAUUUUUUCUCUCUAAGGAUACAUACCAUUAUUUCUCUCGUUUUCUCUCUAAACCCAUGGAUAUAAUGGAAAAGAUAUCUUAUUUGUGUUUUUUCUUUCCUGUAAGAUUCAUAUUUUGGCAUAACUUCUAGCAGGAUUAUUACUAUGGGCGAAGCCCUGCCAGGGAAAGAGAUAGGGCUAGAAGACGGGACUGUGAUACUGAGGUAACGAUACUAUGGUAGAGAAUAUGGCAGAUUAUGAUAGCAAAUGUGGGCAUGGAUGAGAAAGAGAUAGGGAUAGAGAGAGAGGGACAUACGGAGACAGGGAUAGGGACAGGGACAGAGACCGAGAUUGUUGCCGCCUGGGAGAUGAAAAGGAUUAUGGUCAUGAUAGGGAGAGAGAUUGGGGGCAGGAGAGGCAAGAUUGGAAUGGUGGGGAGCACUGGAAGAGAUAUAUGCAUGCAGCAGCACCAGUCCCAGAAGACAGGGAUGGAGCUGAGGAUAAUGGCACUCAAGAAGAAAUAGGCCACCCAGAUCCUGAGAUUGCUGAAGCUAACAGGGUCUGGGCAUCCCCUGGGUUGAAACUAAUAAAAUAGGUGCUGGGUGUUCGUUUAUUGUUAAUAUGGAUGGAUAUAUAAAGUUUGUGGACCAUUUCUUGUAACUGCUGGGAUUGCCAGUAUUGAAUAUAUGGUAAAUGGCAAAUGGAUGCCAAGUACAGAUCUUUCAUAUGUAUGCCUUUCGUUUAUGUUUUCUCCAUCACUUUGAGAAUCA